GUGGGGAAUAUUGGACAAUGGGCGAAAGCCUGAUCCAGCCAUGCCGCGUGUGUGAAGAAGGUCUUCGGAUUGUAAAGCACUUUAAGUUGGGAGGAAGGGCAGUAAGUUGAUACCUUGCUGUUUUGACGUUACCGACAGAAUAAGCACCGGCUAACUUCGUGCCAGCAGCCGCGGUAAUACGAAGGGUGCAAGCGUUAAUCGGAAUUACUGGGCGUAAAGCGCGCGUAGGUGGUUUUGUAAGUUGGAGGUGAAAUCCCCGGGCUCAACCUGGGAACUGCCUCCAAAACUGCAUGACUAGAGUACGGUAGAGGGUAGUGGAAUUUCCUGUGUAGCGGUGAAAUGCGUAGAUAUAGGAAGGAACACCAGUGGCGAAGGCGACUACCUGGACUGAUACUGACACUGAGGUGCGAAAGCGUGGGGAGCAAACAGGAUUAGAAACCCUAGUAGUCC
rnacentral:rRNA from 1 species